CAACCACAGUGGACACAAACUCAAAUCCUCAUCUCCACUCCUGAUAUAAAUAUGUUCUUCCAUUCAGAUGAUAGACGGUGUAAAUCCAGACAGCUUUCCUCCUGGUUUCGUGUCCCACGUUGCCUUCAGUGUGCUGAGAGCAGAGAAAUCAUUUCCAUAGAGAGGAGGCUUUGCAUGGUCAGCUGAUCCUCCAGUGAGAAGGUUUAUAGUCCUGUGAGUUCAACACUGCAGGACUCACAUCUGUCAGUCAGCAGAAAGCACCAUGACUCUCAUCACCAUCCUCAUCUGGACGCUGGCCUGCUGCUGUUUCACAGGAUGCAGCGGUCAGGUGACUGUGACUCAGCCUGCAGUCGAGACAUCUGCUCCAGGAUCCACCGUCACUCUCACCUGUAAAACCAGCACAGAUGUUUACAGAUGGAAUGGGAAUGAUUGUAUGUCCUGGUAUCAACAGAAAUCUGGACAGCCUCCAAAGCUCCUGAUAAAUUCUGUGAGCACACUUGAAUCAGGAACAGAACCUCGGUUUAGUGGCAGUGGAAGCAGAUCUGACUUCUCUAUGACCAUCACUGGACUGAAGGCUGAAGAUGCAGCAGUUUAUUACUGUCAGAGUCUCCACUUCAUAAACAGUGCUUUGGUGUUCACACAGUGAUUUGUAGUCGUACAAAAACCUCCCUCAGUCAGACUGCAGAGACUCUGAGCUGUUACAGCAGGAACCACCUGCAGCUGCUGAAGAGGAAGAGACUGACACAGCCCACUGAACUCAGAGCUGACAGGAACCCACCCAGCACUAUUCACUUCUUAUUCUUAAAUAUACAUAUGUUAAUGGAUUAAUGAGAUUAAACCCAGUCCAAAACACAUUAUAUGUAAAAGCAGCAUUAUACACAAACCUUAUUGUGAUCUCUGCUUCCCCGAAUUAAAACAACAAACGCUCUUUA